rnacentral:lncRNA from 1 species
AAGAAAGGAAAAGGGAAGAAGGUGUAGGCUUAGGAAUGAAAGAAUUAGAGAAAUUAGACGAAGAAGAAGAAGAAAAGCACCAUAUACAUUAUGAAAUUUGUUGUUACUUUAAACCCUGUAACGACCCCCCCAAGAUGAAGAAGUUGUGAAAAUUGGUUGCUAGUAGUUCAAAAAAGUAAGUCGGUCAAUCUUCAAGGAAGAGAAAAAAAAAAGAAAUACAUCACGACCCCAUCUAUCUAAGGUUAUGUAUUGUGUAAAGCAUUGCAGGUUAUGUAUAUAUUAUAUAUUUACAUAACAUUUGUUAUGUAUAUUAAUCAUGUUUGGUAUUUUUAGCAUAUAUACAUAACAUUAGUUAUG